rnacentral:rRNA from 1 species
GAUGAACGCUAGCGGGAGGCCUAACACAUGCAAGCCGAGCGGUAGAGUUUCUUCGGAAACUUGAGAGCGGCGCACGGGUGCGUAACACGUGUGCAACCUACCUUUAUCUGGGGGAUAGCCUUUCGAAAGGAAGAUUAAUACCCCAUAAUAUAAUGAUUGGCAUCAAUUAUUAUUGAAAACUCCGGUGGAUAGAGAUGGGCACGCGCAAGAUUAGAUAGUUGGUGAGGUAACGGCUCACCAAGUCAAUGAUCUUUAGGGGUCCUGAGAGGGAGAUCCCCCACACUGGUACUGAGACACGGACCAGACUCCUACGGGAGGCAGCAGUGAGGAAUAGUGGACAAUGGGUGAGAGCCUGAUCCAGCCAUCCCGCGUGAAGGAUGACGGUCCUAUGGAUUGUAAACUUCUUUUGUACAGGGAUAAACCUACUCUCGUGAGGGUAGCUGAAGGUACUGUACGAAUAAGCACCGGCUAACUCCGUG